rnacentral:rRNA from 1 species
CCUCAGUAGUUAGAUAACAAAACUACUCGCCAGAAUACUACGAGCUACAGCUUAAAACUCAAAGGACUUGACGGUGCUUUACACCCCCUAGAGGAGCCUGUUCCGUAAUCGAUAAACCCCGAUCCACCCCACCCUCUCUUGCUCAGCCUAUAUACCGCCAUCUUCAGCAAACCCCAAUGAAGGUCACAAAGUGAGCGCAAACGCCACCACCGCGAAUACGUUAGGUCAAGGUGUAGCCUAUGAGACGGUAAAAAAUGGGCUACAUUUUCUACCUCAGAAAAUUCCACGAAAGCCCUUAUGAAAUUUAAGGGCCCAAGGAGGAUUUAGCAGUAAAUUAAGAAUAGAGUGCUUAAUUGAACUAGGCCAUAAAGCG